UACAGAGGUCCCAAGCGUUGUUCGGAUUCACUGGGCGUAAAGGGUGCGUAGGCGGUCGGGUAAGUCUGAUGUGAAAUCUCACAGCUUAACUGUGAAAACUGCAUUGGAUACUAUCCGGCUAGAGGAAUGGAGGGGAGACUGGAAUACUUGGUGUAGCAAGUGAAAUGCGUAGAUAUCAAGUGGAACACCAGUGGCGAAGGCGAGUCUCUGGACAUUUCCUGACGCUGAGGCACGAAAGCCAGGGGAGCAAACGGG
rnacentral:rRNA from 1 species